GCGGGACACGUGGUAUCCUGUCUGAAUAUGGGGGGACCAUCCUCCAAGGCUAAAUACUCCUGACUGACCGAUAGUGAACCAGUACCGUGAGGGAAAGGCGAAAAGAACCCCGGCGAGGGGAGUGAAAAAGAACCUGAAACCGUGUACGUACAAGCAGUGGGAGCCUCUUAAUGGGGUGACUGCGUACCUUUUGUAUAAUGGGUCAGCGACUUAUAUUCUGUAGCAAGGUUAACCGAAUAGGGGAGCCGAAGGGAAACCGAGUCUUAACUGGGCGUUAAGUUGCAGGGUAUAGACCCGAAACCCGGUGAUCUAGCCAUGGGCAGGUUGAAGGUUGGGUAACACUAACUGGAGGACCGAACCGACUAAUGUUGAAAAAUUAGCGGAUGACUUGUGGCUGGGGGUGAAAGGCCAAUCAAACCGGGAGAUAGCUGGUUCUCCCCGAAAGCUAUUUAGGUAGCGCCUCGUGAAUUCAUCUCCGGGGGUAGAGCACUGUUUCGGCAAGGGGGUCAUCCCGACUUACCAACCCGAUGCAAACUGCGAAUACCGGAGAAUGUUAUCACGGGAGACACACGGCGGGUGCUAACGUCCGUCGUGAAGAGGGAAACAACCCAGACCGCCAGCUAAGGUCCCAAAGUCAUGGUUAAGUGGGAAACGAUGUGGGAAGGCCCAGACAGCCAGGAUGUUGGCUUAGAAGCAGCCAUCAUUUAAAGAAAGCGUAAUAGCUCACUGGUCGAGUCGGCCUGCGCGGAAGAUGUAACGGGGCUAAACCAUGCACCGAAGCUGCGGCAGCGACACUAUGUGUUGUUGGGUAGGGGAGCGUUCUGUAAGCCUGUGAAGGUGGCCUGUGAGGGUUGCUGGAGGUAUCAGAAGUGCGAAUGCUGACAUAAGUAACGAUAAAGCGGGUGAAAAGCCCGCUCGCCGGAAGACCAAGGGUUCCUGUCCAACGUUAAUCGGGGCAGGGUGAGUCGACCCCUAAGGCGAGGCCGAAAGGCGUAGUCGAUGGGAAACAGGUUAAUAUUCCUGUACUUGGUGUUACUGCGAAGGGGGGACGGAGAAGGCUAUGUUGGCCGGGCGACGGUUGUCCCGGUUUAAGCGUGUAGGCUGGUUUUCCAGGCAAAUCCGGAAAACCAAGGCUGAGGCGUGAUGACGAAGCACUACGGUGCUGAAGCGACAAAUGCCCUGCUUCCAGGAAAAGCCUCUAAGCAUCAGGUAACAUCAAAUCGUACCCCAAACCGACACAGGUGGUCAGGUAGAGAAUACCAAGGCGCUUGAGAGAACUCGGGUGAAGGAACUAGGCAAAAUGGUGCCGUAACUUCGGGAGAAGGCACGCUGAUAUGUAGGUGAAGCGACUUGCUCGUGGAGCUGAAAUCAGUCGAAGAUACCAGCUGGCUGCAACUGUUUAUUAAAAACACAGCACUGUGCAAACACGAAAGUGGACGUAUACGGUGUGACGCCUGCCCGGUGCCGGAAG
rnacentral:rRNA from 1 species